rnacentral:rRNA from 2 species
CCUACGGGUGGCUGCAGUGGGGAAUCUUGCACAAUGGAGGCAACUCUGAUGCAGCGACGUCGCGUGAACGAAGACGGUCUUCGGAUUGUAAAGUUCUGUCCUCGGUGAAGAUAAUGACGGUAAUCGAGGAGGAAGCCCCGGCUAAAUACGUGCCAGCAGCCGCGGUAAUACGUAUGGGGCGAGCGUUGUCCGGAUUUAUUGGGCGUAAAGGGUACGUAGGCGGCGAGUCGGGUCCCUCGUAAAAUCCUGUGGCUUAACCACAGUAAGCGGGGGAAACUGGCUGGCUUGAGUUAUGGAGGGGAACGUGGAAUUCCUGGUGUAGUGGUGAAAUGCGUAGAGAUCAGGAGGAAUACCAAUGGCGAAGGCAACGUUCUGGACAUUAACUGACGCUGAGGUACGAAAGCGUGGGGAGCAAACAGGAUUAGAUACCCUAGUAGUC